rnacentral:rRNA from 1 species
CACGGGGGGAACGCGAAGAACCUUACCUAAGCUUGACAUCCUUUUGACCGAUGCCUAAUGGCAUCUUUCCCUUGGGGGACAGAAGUGACAGGUGGUGCAUGGUUGUCGUCAGCUCGUGUCGUGAGAUGUUGGGUUAAGUCCCGCAACGAGCGCACCCCUUGCCUUUAGUUCCCAGCAUUAAGUUGGGCACUCUAGAGGACUGCCCAGGGCUAACCGGGAGAAAGGUGGGGAUGACGUCAAAUCAUCAUGCCCCUUAUGCUUAGGUACACACGUGCUACAAUGGGUGGUACAAAGGGCAGCCAAGUCGUGAGGCGGAGCUAACCCAAAAAGCCAUUCUCAGUUCGGAUUGUAGUGCU